rnacentral:sRNA from 1 species
AAGGGUUGAUUCAUUGAUAAGAAAAUGUAAAAGACUCUAGGUGAAGUAAGCUAAAGAAGCAGAAAAAGUCUAGUAAAGGUUUUGGGAUUUGUAAAGAAAAGAAAGAGUUCUUGUUAGCUAUUGAAGAUGGGCAAAAGCCUUUGGUUUUAGAAUGUUAAAACAGGAACCUUAGUUGUUAAAGAAAUCCAAAUCCGCUAGAUGUAUCAAAGUGUUGAGAAAGCUUCUCCUAGAGUUAAGAGAAAAGAAAAUAAUGAUUAGAAAAAGGGAUUAAAAGAUUCAUGAAUGCAAAGGGUGGAGUUAAGUUCUUAUAUUGGGAUUGGAGAUGGGAUUACCAUUAGAGCUUCAUUUGAUAUACUCUGGGUAGAUGAGAUCUUACCUUUGUAUGCAUAGCUUGGGACUUACCUUUAGCAUUCUACUAAAGCUUAAUCAGUUUUUUAGAGAUUCCAUGUUAUUGAAGCCUAUUCUGUAAGGGACCAUAUUUGUCUCUUGACCUUUUACCUUACCCAAAUGAGUUCAUUGAUGAUGCAUUGCUUGAUUCACGUUCAAGAACUAAUGAAUGUUAAAGGGAUUGGUAGAUUUGAAAACAUGUGUAGGUCGAGCAUAUGAUUCGGAUUGAUUGAUAAUGAGGCAUGGCUAACGUUUUUGAGUUGAAUUCGAUCAUAUUGCAACUUAGAACUUUCAACUUGGACAUUGAUUUCAUCUGGUUUAUCUGGUGCUUUGGCUCUGAGUCCCCGCUUUCAAACCUCACCUCCAGCUUGUUCUUGAUUGUUUGCUUGAGGGCUAAAUUUGGGGGAGUUGAUAAGUGUGUAUUUUGCAUGUUUGAGCAUCCAUUUGUCAUCACUUUAGCAUCAUAUCAUCACUGUUUUAUACCAUUUCUCAUCAUUUGUCACCACUUUGCAUGUUUAGGAUAGUUUUGCAUGCAUGUUACAUAUUUGUGUUGCUUUCAGGUGAUUCGGAGCUGUUGACGAGCUAAUUGGAAGAAGCGGAUCUGAUCAUGCAAAACCACUCGACCCCCGGGUCGAGUAGACGCUUCACAACCUCAGCAGACCACUCGACCCCCUGGUCGAGUAGAGGACAUCACCACUUCACAACACCACUCGACCCCGAGGUCGAGUGUCUUCAUCUCCAUCACCUGACCAUCACUCGAUCACCUUACUCGACCCAGAGGUCGAGUGUCUUCACCUCCAUUACCAGACAACCACUCGAUCUCACCACUCUACCUUGAAGUCGAGUAUCACCAUUACUACCACUCGACUACACACUCGAUUGCGAGCUUCAGAGUCCUCUUCAUUCCGCACUCAACCAGACACUCGAGCACAAGGAAGAAAAGAAGACUCCAGCUAUUCACUCGACCUCCCACUCGACCACCUGGGUCGAGUACAGUUCUUAAUCCGUCCCAAUACUGCGUCGUUUUAAGUAUUAGGGUUUCAGAAUAUUUGGCUAUAAGUAGCAUGUACUUCACAUUUUCGCAAACAAGUUUUUUUUAUCUAGUUUUAUUCCGCAGACCUUGUGUUCUAGACCUUUUGUAAUCCGGAUUUCUCUUUAUCUAUUCAAUAUUCAGUAUUCAGCUUUUGUUCUUGAUUUCGUUUACUGUUGUUCAUUCUGAUAUCAUCCUGCUGUUACACUGUUGUUAUCAUGUUUUCAACUUGUUCAACGUUUAUGCUUUCUGUUAUGAUGUCUGAGUAGUGAAUAGGUUUUUGAGGAUGGGUUAGAGUAGUGUAGAAUUCUCAGUAUGCUAGGUGAUUGAGUAUUGAUUGAUAGAUCCCUUAUGGAUUAGUUGUUCUUAAUGCCUAUUGCCUUCUGAUCAACUGGAAUUUGAGCCCAGACAUUUCCGCGCCCAAAAGGUGUUCGAUGAAAUGUCUGAACCACUAAUUCGAGAGAUUCGUGACCUUGUACUAAGGUAUUGGUUGCAGGGAGCGUUUUGGCUUUAACUUGUUGAUUCGUAAUGCCUGUUAGGUUAGCUCUCGUCAAUGGUGAUUGAGUCUGGGACUAGGUUAACUUUAGGGUCUCUGUUGCGGUGGCACUAAGAACUGCUAGAACACACCACAACCUGUUAUUGGUUGGCUUGACUUAGUGACUUCUGAUCACAUCUUGAUUGUUAGCAUCACACCCAUUUGGAUUGACAACCUUCAGUACUACAACGACAUGAUAGUGCUUUAGGAUUAAUUGAUCUUAAAAACCUAUUAUCAAAA